AUCAAAAAACAAAACAAAUUAACACAAAACCAGAAAACAAGUGUUGGUGAGGAUGUAGAGACAGUGAAGCCCUUGGGCACCGUUGAUGGGAAUGAAAAUGGUAGAGUCACUAUGGAAAAUAGCAUGGCAGGUCCUCAAAAAAUUAAACACAGAAUUAUCAUAUGAUUACCAGUGGUUCCACUUGUGUGUACAUGCCCUAAAGAACUGAAAGCGGGGUCUUGAAAAGACAUUUGUACAUUCACGUUCACAGUAGUUAAGACAUAGAAGCAAUCCGAGCAUCUAGCAAUGGAUGAAAAAAUAAGCAAAAUGUGGCAAAUACUUACUAUUUAUAUUAUUCAGCCUUAAAAAGGAAGGAAAUUCUGACCUAUGCUACAAAAUGGAUGAACUUUGAGAACAUCAUACGAAGUGAAAUAAGGCAGACACAAAAGGGCAAAUACGGUAUGAUUCCACCAACAUGAUGUACACAGAAUAGUCAAAUUGAUGGAGGAAAAAAAAAGUAGAUUAAUGGUUGCCAGGCACUGAGGGGAGGAAGGAAUAGGAAGUGACUGUUUAAUUGGUAUACAGUUUCAGUUAAGAAUGAUGGAAAAGGAUGGUAGUGAUGUUGUACAACAAUAUGAAUAUACUUAAUGCCACUGAAUCGUACUCUCAAAAAGGGUGAAAGUGAUAAAUUUUACAUUAUGUAUAUUUUACCACAAUAAAAAGAGUCAAGUGGAUAGAUUUCAAUUUUUGCUAAGCAAAAAUAUUCCACACUACCCGUCUAAUAAAGCAGCCAAGAAAAAAAAGAAAAAGGUGGUCAGUAGAGAACAAAAUCUAAAAUAUAAAAGGAUAAAUCGAGAGAACAGUAGAUCUUAUUUCUUUCUCUGAAAACUGAAUGAGUUGAACCAUGGUUUCUUCCAAACUUGGAAAACUUCAUGUUUCUAUGAGAAGGAAGAUAAAAUAUUAUUCUACACUGCUAGACCAGGUUUUUUUUUUUUUUAAUUAUAGGACCAAGACUAAUUUAGAAUUCUUUGCAGAAAGGAACAUAUUUAAAUUCAGAAGACCCUUCCUCUGAGUAUAAAAAUAAAUGUAGUCUAUCACACACACUCAUAGUUCAGAAGUCACAACCUUCAACAUCUCUCAGUGAAUGAACACAGGAAGUCCACUCUGUCUCACGUGUCUGGAGGUACGAAUGCCAGCCUAUAAAAAUGGAGCACCUGAGUCCUCCCUACAAUUUGGCAGCUAGUGUUCACCACGCUCUGGUGUUCUCCACUUGCUGAAAUAUCAAAACGGCAGCUUUCCAGACAAAGUGAGGAUGGUUGGUUGGAGCACCAAAGGAUCCUUCCUUCUAAAAAGAGUUUGCUUUGAGGAACCGAACAUGUUCUCUUAAAAACUGCAUUUUAACACGUAAUGCUACUUAUAGUAGUUUGAAAUAUACACAACUUCUUAAAAAUACAGACUUUGCAAGGCACACCAAGACUGAGGGAGGCUACCUUUAGAGUCAAGAGCAAUCACACUGGGGACCCCAAAUUUUUUUUUUAGGUUUUCAGAAAGAUCAAUCGCAGGUUCACUUUAAAUUAAAACAAAUGAAGUACCAAGAAAAGGAUGCAACCAAAAAAGUCUGAAAUACUAAGGCCACGACUGUGUUGCUUCAAGGAGUCACCCUGCUUGUGGGUAUUACCUCAUGGUUUCCCUGAAGGAUUACAUACCCUGCACUCUAGUGGAUUAUGGGAAAUAUGGGACUGUUUAUACUGAAGAACACACCCUGAUCAGGUAGAAAGUUCUCAUUUGUUAACAGUUUAAAAAGUCGAGGCAAUAUGGCUGAUUGAUAACAGAUAAUUACUAGGAACAAGAUAGAUUUUAGAAAAAAAUCUGAUUUCCUACUAAUAGGGAAAAGAAUCUCAAUUUCUAUUCUGCUCAUAUACAAUUAACAGGAAAUAUAGAAUAUUCCUUCUGUAUACAGAGGUAAGACCCAAGGAACUGCAAUAAAGCAAAGUGUCACAUAUGAGAGCCUACUUGCCCAUUACACAGAGAAGCUGAAGAACCAAGGGCCUUUUCCCCAUCUGCCCUGCAGCUCAAAUACAAACACAUGACAGAAGUUCCACCAAUAGAUGCAUCCACCCUUGACUCUAAAUGGGGAGCAAAUGUUGCAAAAUAGGGACCUUCUACAAGGUACAUUCCCUGGUGACAACUGUUUCUGGAAAAACAGGGUUUCUGAGGUAACAACAGAAGCAGAACCAGUGGCAAAGUUCAGUCUACACUGCCAGCCAGCACUGUUUGUGAUACAGGGCAUGCCAAAGUGUUUGGUCAUAACAGCAGUAGUGACCUCAAUGGUUAAGUUCUGUGGCACGAUUUUGGCUAUUAUGCUUAGGUAGGUGACCCAAAAUCUGAUUCUAGAGCUCUUCUAGAGAUUCUGGAAGCUAUUCACUAUCACUUUCAAAUUUGACCGAUACACUUAACCUUAAUUUCUCUAUCAGUGAACUAAGGGUAAUACUGUGUACCUUGAAAGUAGCAGAGAGAAUUAAAUGAGAUAAUGUAUGUUUGUCAACCUCUCAGAAGAAAAAGGUCUGAGACCCCUUUGCAAACCCGAUGGAAGCUAUGGUUCCGCCUCCCACAAGGGCUUCUGACACCACCACAGUUCCAUACUCAGUUACCAUGAGAGCCAUUCAGGAAAACAUACCCUUCUCCAGCCAUGUGGUGCCAAGGUAAUUCUACUCAUGCUAAGAGUUAGCAAAACUAGACAAUUCUAGACAAUUAGAGAGCGAAUGACACACUGGCUGCUCAGAAAGAUAGCCUGGGACAAAGAGAAGACCUCCACAGAAGAAAGAGCAGCAGAGUGUUUGACAACUAGUGAGAAGGCUAAAAACUCAGCGAUAUGCACGCAACUCAGUGUCUUCAAAGCUCAUUUAAAAGGUUUGGAAGCGUUAAAAGGAAUGUUCUUAUACUCAAUUGAGCUCUGGUAGAAAUCCAAAGUUUUAAGUUAAGGAGUGACUGAUAAUGAAGAUCAGUGCGAUUUUUGUUCAUACUUCUCAAAACUUCCCUCUGUUUGCACCUCUUAUUUAAUACCAUUUAAUUUGGUUAGUUUGUAUGCUACUAUUUGGCCAACGUUUAUGCUUAGCUUUUCCAGUAAAGCACUGUAUUAUUUUCAGCAAGUCCAGAUGAAUGGAAAAGUAUGUCUCUUUCAGUCAGUGACUCCAUGAACUAAGCUCAGGAAACCUGUAAUGAAAGCAACAGCUGACAGUGGAUCUAAAUCGAUGGCUAAGUCCCUAGAAGCACACAGUCUCUCCAAGGACUAUGGCCCACCUCUUCCAGUGUGAUGCAAAGAACCGGGUCUUUGGAAUAUGACAGACCUGAGUAUAAAUCUCUGCGGAAAUUGAACAGGUUGUCUACACCACAACACUGUCAUACCUAAGCAUUCUUACCUAUAAAAUAAGGAUGAUUGAAUACCUCCUUCAUAGGAUUCUUCUGAAGAUUAAAAAAGAAACUGCACAGACAGCAACUAGUGUAGCACUUGGCACAUGGUAAAGCAGGCAUUCAACGAAUGAUAGGUAUUAUGCACUAUGCUUCUAAAAUUCUAGGCUUUGAGUUCAUCGUGAUUUUUUUUUUUUCUACUAGCUUGUAAAACUCCUCAAGGGCAAAACUAGUGCCACAUCCAACUGCAUCUUACUUUUUCAUAAUUUCAACUCCCUGGAAAGUCAAGAAAUGGGGAAAACCACACAAAUUGGCCCACCGGUCCCCCAAAUAGUUAUUAUAAAUUUCAUGCGCUAAUGCCUAUCUAUUUUAGUAACAAGAAACCCCCAAAGGCUUACUGACUUUUGUUUCCAAGGUGACAGGAGCAAAUUAGGAGGUGACUGCUACUUUCCAUCAGAAAAGGAAACACCAGGAAAAAAAUCAUAGAAAGUAAACAUACGCACAUGAUCUAUACGAAAUAGUAAACAAAAUAAAGUCUAGCAACCAAAGCCUCUGUUCUAAUUGAGAUAUUAGCAAGUACUGAGUUAGAGACAAUGUUAAAAAAUACAGAGAGAAACGUACAAAGUUAAAAUGAUGGUGGUCAAAGUCCACUGACCAUAAUUGUUAAAAUUAGAAAGAAUCUUUGCACAAUUACCGCAAUUAUCUGUUGAGCCUCAAUACGUACAAAACAUAUGCUACACGUAAGCCAUGCUGCCCACAUAAACUAAUCCCCCCCCAUUAACUCCCUGAGGUAGGUAUUAGUAUCCUUAUUUUACAGAUUAAGAAAUCAGGGCUCAGAGGGGUGAAGCGACUCGCCCAAGAUCACAGGGCCAAUGUGUGACAUUUUCCAUCCCUGAACUAACUCCAAGUCUGUGCUCUUUUCCCAUAAUGCCACACUGCUCCUCCAUACUCUUAUGAAUUGCAAGAAUUGAUUCUAAGUUAUAAAAGGGAUCCUUAUGCUUAAACAUACAUAGUAAUGGAGAGUUCAUUACUCUGCCAGAUAGCACAGGGGUUAUGAGCACAGAUUUUUAAAUUUUCUUUAUUUUAGAGAAAGAGUGCACAAGCGGGGGGAGAGGAGCAGGGUGGGAGGAGAG